rnacentral:lncRNA from 1 species
AGGUAAAAGCGCCGCGGAUGGAGCUCAGCAGGCUCUCAGGAGAUGCUCCGCCUGUCGCAUGAUCAACCCUGGCAACCACAAGCCCUGUUGCUGCAGGGCCGGUGCUCCCAUGGGAAGGAGCUGAACCAGUGUCUUGGGACCCCAGCAUGGACAUACAAAGCUGGUGACACCAGGUCAGAGGAAACAGACACACUCAGCUUCCCAUGAGUGCAUGAAAGAUCCAGGCUGGAGCCUUCUCUGGGAGGAAGUUGGUCUGGGGUGGGGCCGAGGGGGCCGAGUCUCCCAUACCUGAGGGAAGAGACGGUUAGACGUUGCACGUGUGUAUUCUCAUCCCUCCGUCUCCUCUCUCACGAAGGCAUUUUCUUGAGUGCUUCCUCUCAUGAACACUCUUCAGUGGGCCCACUGCACACCAUUCCUCUGCCUCCUUUUUCUCCACCUACUAGCAAGGCUAA